GCCCCGUAUCACAUACCCUGCAUCACAAACCUUUGGUCACAUGCCCCUAUAUCGCACCCGUCAUUUUAAUGCCCCUUAAAUUGUCAAGUUAAGGUGGUACCCAACACCUUCACUAAAACUAAUUUAGCUCGUUUAAUUUUCAUAAAAUUUUGAUAAGUAUUUACUUUGACCAUUUGACCAUUUGACAAAAAUAUAAAAAUUUCAAAAAAUUUGAACCAACCAAUUUAUCAGAAAUAUAACACUGGUUAUAUACCAGUUUGACAAACACAACUUUUAAUCAUUGAGAAGCUUAAUAUUCCACACUGUAAUUAAAGUGUUUAGCUGAUUUUACAGAGUUAUCUCCCUGUAGUGUAAGGUACCACCUUAAAUAUAUGAUAAAUUUAAAAACACAUUGUAAAAUUUUAAUUGAAUGCUCUAACAACCAUAGAACCUAAUCAGCCCUCAGCUUUCCAAACUCUAACUAAUAUUGAUCUCUUGGCUUGAUAAAGUAUAAUUUUGCCAUGUAUUUUUACUCUAUAUAUCAUUAUAUUACUACACAAUUUUAAUAUUCCUUUCCCUCAUACAGUUGUAUGUCAUCCCAAUAGAAGUACAUGUUAUAGUUGUCUAUUUGGCAGUACAUGUAAAUAAUAUACAUGAUUACAUUCUGUCUUCCGUUUACAUAAAAAAACACAAAAUUCUAUACCGUAACUUCACUUAGGUAAAGUUUUGUUUGUAAUCAACUCUAGCUUGUACCUUAAAUCUAAUAAUUACAGACUUUCAUGAAAAUAAUGCAUGACAAAAUACUAUAGAUGAAUAGAUGUAUUCACACUUUUUGGUAUUUUGCUGAAUUUUGUCUCUGAAUAACUUUCUAAUGUGAAGCAACAAUUACUUUUUAAUUGUUACUUUAUUUUCUUAAAUUGUGAUGUCAAAUUUUAU
rnacentral:lncRNA from 1 species